GUGUGGUGUAGUGGUUAGCACAUUUGCCUACCAUGCAGCAGGUCCCUGGUUCAAAGCCUGGCAGAAACA
rfam:Pelodiscus sinensis unplaced genomic scaffold scaffold4139, whole genome shotgun sequence.